rnacentral:rRNA from 1 species
AAGUUUCAACAACGGAUCUCUUGGCUCUCGCAUCGAUGAAGAACGCAGCGAAAUGCGAUAAGUAAUGUGAAUUGCAGAAUUCAGUGAAUCAUCGAAUCUUUGAACGCACCUUGCGCUCCUUGGUAUUCCUUGGAGCAUGCCUGUUCGAGUAUCAU